rnacentral:tRNA from 1 species
AGAGACUUAGGAUAGCACAAAACCGAAGGCCUUCAAAGCCCUAAACGGGAGUGAAAAUCUCCCAGUCCCUG